rnacentral:lncRNA from 1 species
CUUAAAGUAUAAUAAAAAAAAAAAAAAGAAAAGAAAAACAUACCUAACAUCCCACAGACAGUUAAAAGAAUGGAUCAGUCAUUAGUGAGAAAACAUUUUGAAUUAGAAGAAAGCUCUGAGGAAAUAUGUCAGAAUUAAUAGAGAUUAAUAAGGAGAUGCAAUAUAUGAAGAAUUUAGAAACAUCAACAAUUAAUCAUAAAGUGCCAACCUACGUGGAAUAGCAAUGUGUGAAGGGAAAAAUGUUCCUGAGAAAAAAAUUGCAUUUAUUAUCCAAAACAGGAAAGAAAUGAGUCUAUAGAUUGAAAACGCCACUUAUGCAACACAUAGCAGGAGAAAAAAUAACACCUAAACAUAUAGCAUGACUGCAAAAUACCAUAGCUAAAGAAAAAUCUUCUAAAACUAACAGGGAACAGGCAAAUAACUUGUGAGGAGACAAUUAUAUCAACAACAUUGUCAAAAGAAGCAAAACACAACAGAAGAAAAUGGAAUAAAGCAGCUGAAAGAUUCAGAGAUUUGAUCUUAUGUAAUCUUCAGAGCUGGCUAAGCUUCCUGGUUAGGCCAUCUCUGCAACUCUCUUUGCCUCUGAUACUGGAGUUGAAGUCUACAGGAGAGGAGUCAGGAAGGAAAAUUGGAGGAUUCCAACUACAUAACAUUCUGGAAAAGACAAAACUGUGAAGACAGCAGAAGAGAAUUGGUUGCCAACAGAUGACAUAGAGGAUUUCACUCUUCUUCAUACAGAGUGAGAAAGCUGAGAUAUCCAGAAGUCAAGAAGUCAGAGGAGAUUUCAUUAAUCUUCACUGGAAUGAGAAAACGCAAUUUUGGUAUUUGUGACUACCAAGGCAAUCAUAUGAAGAAUAAGACUUAGCCAUUCACAGGCAUCUUAUCUGAGGUUCCAGACAUAUAAGUGAACCAAUGCUAUGUUGUCGGCAUAUGUCUAGAUGGAAAGAACUGCUCAGAUAACUCAUCCCCUCUGUCAAGACAAGAAUCUCUCUCCUUGCUUCUUGAAUUGGAAGUUGGUCAUGCAGCUUUUAUUUGCUCAGUGAGAUGCUUGAAGACAUGUCAAAAAAUGAAGAUAAAGCCCGGGCGCGGUGGAUCACACCUGUAAUCCCAGCACUUUGGGAGGCUGAGGCAGGUGGAUCACGAGGCCAGGAGAUCGAGACCAUCCUGACUAACACGGUGAAACCCUGUCUCUACUAAAAAUACAAAAAAUUAGCCGGGCGUGGUGGUGGGCACCUGUAUAGUCCCAGCUACUCUGGAGGCUGAGGCAGGAGAAUGGCGUGAACCCAGGAGGAGGAGCUUGCAGUGAGCCAAGAUCCCACCACUGCACUCCAGCCCGGGAGACAGAGCGAGACUCCAUCUUAAAAAAAAAAAGAGGAUAAAGUAUCACUUGAAAAGAGAACAUGAAGGUCUGCAUGGAGACAGAGGUUUAAGGAACAUCGAUUGGCUAGAUUAUUCAAGGAUAAAAUUAGCUAACAAAAGUAUUAAAAGUGAAGUGAAGUGAUAAUUUGGAAAAAGUAUGAAAUAAGUGAAAAAAUAAAAUGAUUUGUGGAUAGCACAACCAGUAUAUGAAACGAUCUAUAAUUGACAUGGAAGUACUUGCCCUCAUUAUUCUAUUUGUCCAAGAAUAAAAUGAAUGGAAUCUGUGAGC